CUAAGCCCGCCGUCAGGCCCCCCAUAUGCCCUCCCCCAGUCGUCCUCGCUGCCCCGCCACUCUCCUUUUAUUUCCCACCGCCCCUCGCGUGGGAAGCGCGCCCCUUCUCGUGCCUUCCAGUCUCACCGCUCUUGCGGACCCACUUGGACUGUAGAGCGCUUGCCUGGAGUCUCGUCCUCCUCGUGUCCCCUUUUUACCCAGCCUGACACCGAGCCCUGUCGUCUCUCACUGAAGGGGAAGCUAGCAGCCACGCCAUGAGGAUACUCAAGCAGCUCUGGGGAGGGGUUCAUGUGACAGGAAACUGAGGCCCCCUGCCAAAGGCCUUGUGAGCAUGUCAUCUUGGAAGAGGAUUUUUCAGUCCCAGUCAGACCUUCAGCUGACUGCAGACCCAGCUAAUGUCUUAAAACUGCAACCUCCCAAGACCCUAAGCCUGAACUCCAGCUAGGCCGUUCCUGAUUUCCUGACCACAGAAGUUAUAUAAUAAAUGUUUAGUUUUGUUUUAGGCCUCUA